ACUCAAAGGAAUUGACGGGGACCCGCACAAGCAGCGGAGCAUGUGGUUUAAUUCGAAGCAACGCGAAGAACCUUACCUGGACUUGACAUCCCUUGGCCCGCUUCUUAACCGAAGCUUUCCCUUCGGGGACUGAGGAGACAGGUGGUGCAUGGUUGUCGUCAGCUCGUGUCGUGAGAUGUUGGGUUAAGUCCCGUAACGAGCGCAACCCUUGUCUUUAGUUGCCAUCACUUAGGGUGGGCACUCUAAAGAGACUGCCAAGGUUAACUUGGAGGAAGGUGGGGAUGACGUCAAAUCAUCAUGCCCCUUAUGUUCAGGGCUACACACGUGCUACAAUGGCCGAUACAAAGGGUAGCGAAAGAGUAAUCUGGAGCCAAUCCCAUAAAGUCGGUCCCAGUUCGGAUUGUGGGCUGCAACUCGCCCACAUGAAGUCGGAGUUGCUAGUAAUCGUGGAUCAGCAUGCCACGGUGAAUGCGUUCCCGGGUCUUGCACACACCGCCCGU
rnacentral:rRNA from 1 species